rnacentral:misc_RNA from 1 species
GUAGGUGAACCUGCGGAGGGAUCAUUACUGAAUGGCCUCCGGGCCUUCAACCUUGCAAACCUGUGGAAGCUAACACGUGCUUCGGCGUCGCUUUUAUGCUACAAUAAGUCUCUGUGUCUGAAUCAAAUACAAGAAAUAAAACUUUCAACAAAGGAUCUCUUGGCUCUC